AUGAACGCUAGCUACAGGCUUAACACAUGCAAGUCGAGGGGCAGCAUGGUCUUAGCUUGCUAAGGCCGAUGGCGACCGGCGCACGGGUGAGUAACACGUAUCCAACCUGCCGUCUACUCUUGGACAGCCUUCUGAAAGGAAGAUUAAUACAAGAUGGCAUCAUGAGUCCGCAUGUUCACAUGAUUAAAGGUAUUCCGGUAGACGAUGGGGAUGCGUUCCAUUAGAUAGUAGGCGGGGUAACGGCCCACCUAGUCUUCGAUGGAUAGGGGUUCUGAGAGGAAGGUCCCCCACAUUGGAACUGAGACACGGUCCAAACUCCUACGGGAGGCAGCAGUGAGGAAUAUUGGUCAAUGGGCGAGAGCCUGAACCAGCCAAGUAGCGUGAAGGAUGACUGCCCUAUGGGUUGUAAACUUCUUUUAUAAAGGAAUAAAGUCGGGUAUGGAUACCCGUUUGCAUGUACUUUAUGAAUAAGGAUCGGCUAACUCCGUGCCAGCAGCCGCGGUAAUACGGAGGAUCCGAGUGUUAUCCGGAUUUAUUGGGUUUAAAGGGAGCGUAGAUGGAUGUUUAAGUCAGUUGUGAAAGUUUGCGGCUCAACCGUAAAAUUGCAGUUGAUACUGGAUAUCUUGAGUGCAGUUGAGGCAGGCGGAAUUCGUGGUGUAGCGGUGAAAUGCUUAGAUAUCACGAAGAACUCCGAUUGCGAAGGCAGCCUGCUAAGCUGCAACUGACAUUGAGGCUCGAAAGUGUGGGUAUCAAACAGGAUUAGAUACCCUGGUAGUCCACACGGUAAACGAUGAAUACUCGCUGUUUGCGAUAUACUGCAAGCGGCCAAGCGAAAGCGUUAAGUAUUCCACCUGGGGAGUACGCCGGCAACGGUGAAACUCAAAGGAAUUGACGGGGGCCCGCACAAGCGGAGGAACAUGUGGUUUAAUUCGAUGAUACGCGAGGAACCUUACCCGGGCUUAAAUUGCAGAUGAAUUACGGUGAAAGCCGUAAGCCGCAAGGCAUCUGUGAAGGUGCUGCAUGGUUGUCGUCAGCUCGUGCCGUGAGGUGUCGGCUUAAGUGCCAUAACGAGCGCAACCCUUGUUGUCAGUUACUAACAGGUUCCGCUGAGGACUCUGACAAGACUGCCAUCGUAAGAUGUGAGGAAGGUGGGGAUGACGUCAAAUCAGCACGGCCCUUACGUCCGGGGCCACACACGUGUUACAAUGGGGGGUACAGAGGGCCGCUACCACGCGAGUGGAUGCCAAUCCCCAAAACCUCUCUCAGUUCGGACUGGAGUCUGCAACCCGACUCCACGAAGCUGGAUUCGCUAGUAAUCGCGCAUCAGCCACGGCGCGGUGAAUACGUUCCCGGGCCU
rnacentral:rRNA from 1 species